rnacentral:lncRNA from 1 species
GUCUUUUCUUCCAGCACCGAAUACAAUGCUGCAUCCACCAAACAUCCUCUGAUCACCGAGCAUGCUUUCUUCUCCAACGAUGCCCACUGUCUAUCUGUCAUUCCCUCAGGCUUCUCAUCCAAAGCCUGAUCCAGAUCUGCUUGCACCAGAAGAUCCUCCACCCAAAUUUUUCACAUAAAAAAAUUCUUCUUGCCAUCAAACUUCUCGAACUCGACCUUCAUAUUGCUGUCCAUAAUUGGAUCUAAGCCAAACAAGCAAUAUAAAAUCAAGAAGUGUAGAAUAUACCUUGAUGGUACCUUGCUGAAAAUUUUCAGCACUUGGGAUCUUCAACUUCUCGCGCUUGGAAUCGCUUCCUUACCAUCGUGGCUCUGAUACCAACUAUUGAAGCAUGAUCCUGGCUCCUCCCACGGACCUUGAGUGCAGCAGAAUCAGCAACGAACAAAUCUGGAGACUUCUGGACUCGAUCAAAGGCCCUUGACAAAAUCAGCCUGGUUGCUGUCUUCUUCAUCAGCCUUUCAUUCCAGAUGAAGAAUGCCUCUGAAAUUAUCUCUAAAAAAUUCAAGAUCUGGUAGCCAACUAGAACAAGCCUGGACCGAGGUCUUUCAAUUCAUAAAUCUC